rnacentral:miRNA from 1 species
GUAGUUAAUAGUUAAAUACAUAUGUAGAAUGUGUGUGUGUGUGUGUAUAUAUAUAUACACACACACACACACACACACAUUCUACAUAUGUAUUUAACUAUU